rnacentral:rRNA from 1 species
CAGCCGCCGCGGUAAUACGGAGGGUGCAAGCGUUAUCCGGAUUCACUGGGUUUAAAGGGUGCGUAGGCGGGCAGGUAAGUCAGUGGUGAAAUCUUCGAGCUUAACUCGGAAACUGCCGUUGAUACUAUCUGUCUUGAAUAACGUUGAGGUGAGCGGAAUAUGUCAUGUAGCGGUGAAAUGCUUAGAUAUGACAUAGAACACCGAUUGCGAAGGCAGCUCACUAAACGCUCAUUGACGCUGAGGCACGAAAGCGUGGGGAUCAAACAGGAUUAGAUACCCGAGUAGUCCCUGUCUCUUAUAC